GGGAAGGUGGCUCAGUGGUAGAGUGCUUGCCUUGCAUGCAUGAAGCCCUGGGUUCGAUUCCUCAGCGCCA
rnacentral:tRNA from 1 species